rnacentral:rRNA from 1 species
AACGAACGCUGGCGGCAGGCCUAACACAUGCAAGUCGAGCGGACCCUUCGGGGUUAGCGGCGGACGGGUGAGUAACGCGUGGGAACGUGCCCUUUGCUUCGGAAUAGCCCUGGGAAACUGGGAGUAAUACCGGAUACGCCCUUUUGGGGAAAGAUUUAUCGGCGAAGGAUCGGCCCGCGUUGGAUUAGGUAGUUGGUGGGGUAAUGGCCUACCAAGCCGACGAUCCAUAGCUGGUUUGAGAGGAUGAUCAGCCACACUGGGACUGAGACACGGCCCAGACUCCUACGGGAGGCAGCAGUGGGGAAUCUUAGACAAUGGGGGAAACCCUGAUCGAGCCAUGCCGCGUGAGCGAUGAAGGCCUUAGGGUUGUAAAGCUAUUUCACCGGGGAAGAUAAUGACGGUACCCGGAGAAGAAGCCCCGGCUAACUCCGUG